CUGACAUCCUAGUGGGUGUGGGACGCAGGCAGCCUGGCGCCAGGCACCCCCGGCGAUGAUCCCCAAACCUCACCUUCCAGCUGGCGGCGCUCGCGGCGCUCCAGCUCACAAACUUGUUUGCUCGCCUUACGAGUAUGGUGUUUCCCUGGGGCUCCGUGGAGAGCGUUCCCCUUCCUUCCUUGGGCUGGUCCAGGCUUGGCUGGAAUCCAGUAAUUUUUCACCAACAAGAAGAGUGGGAUAUCUAACCUCAAGGGCACCAAAGCGAAGGCAGUUCCUGGAACUCUGAAAUUACCUUCUGUGUGUGGACAGGAGAGAAAUCCAGUAACUCAAAAUUUAAAAUAAAAUCUAAAAAUUUCAUUUUUUUACUGGUUAGUUUUUGGAAUUGAUCAAAGUGCCAGAUGCUAUCACUUAUUGUCC
rnacentral:lncRNA from 1 species